CGCUAAACCAUACCCAAAAUGUUUUAUUCGGCCGUAAUAUACCUACAUCAAAAACCUAGUUGGGGCAGCCAGUAUACGGAAUAGCAAGUGGCUGCAUUUUAGGGAGGAGAUAGUCACAGGUCCCUGCGGACAAAGCAGAGUCAGAUUAGGUACGGUGUGUUGGCCGAGGACAGGAUAGCUGCUCUGGUCAACAACAAACAGCAUACUUCUCAAGAAGAACAUACAUGAAACGAGAUACAAAACUUUAUAUAGCUGCUGAGUGAUAGCCGACAAAAUAUGGUGCUAACUGUCCUGGAUUUGGAAGCUCUGUCCUGUGUCCCAUUCGGCCAAAUGUUCAAGGUGGUUGCUCGUGAACUGGGAGAAUAAAGUCAAAAGAAGCUCAAAAAUACUGUAGCUUAAAUCAUGAAC